AAUGUUGCCAUGGUGAUGAGCUACUAUAGGUAUAAGGAUGGGGAAUGUCUUAACAGGUGUGCCGUGAAAAAUUUCUAUUAAUGUAAGUGUGCCUUGGGCUG